UGGGGAAUUUUGCGCAAUGGGCGGAAGCCUGACGCAGCAACGCCGCGUGGAGGAUGAAGGCCUUCGGGUCGUAAACUCCUGUCAGUGGGGACGAAUGCCUCGCAAGAGGUUUGACUGUACCCGUUGAGGAAGCCACGGCUAACUCCGUGCCAGCAGCCGCGGUAAUACGGAGGUGGCAAGCGUUGUUCGGAAUUACUGGGCGUAAAGGGCGCGUAGGCGGCUAGGCAAGUCAGGUGUGAAAGCCCCGGGCUUAACUCGGGAAUUGCACCUGAAACUGCCUUGCUUGAGUCCUGGAGGGGGUAGCGGAAUUCCCAGUGUAGCGGUGAAAUGCGUAGAUAUUGGGAGGAACACCUGCGGCGAAGGCGGCUACCUGGACAGUGACUGACGCUGAGGCGCGAAAGCUAGGGUAGCGAACGGG
rnacentral:rRNA from 1 species